rnacentral:rRNA from 1 species
UACGAAGGGGGCUAGCGUUGCUCGGAAUCACUGGGCGUAAAGCGCACGUAGGCGGCUUGUUAAGUCAGGGGUGAAAUCCUGGAGCUCAACUCCAGAACUGCCUUUGAUACUGGCGAGCUUGAGUUCGGGAGAGGUGAGUGGAACUGCGAGUGUAGAGGUGAAAUUCGUAGAUAUUCGCAAGAACACCAGUGGCGAAGGCGGCUCACUGGCCCGAUACUGACGCUGAGGCGCGAAAGCGUGGGGAGCAAACAGG